CCUAGGGGGGCAGCAGUGGGGAAUAUUGCACAAUGGGCGCAAGCCUGAUGCAGCCAUGCCGCGUGUAUGAAGAAGGCCUUCGGGUUGUAAAGUACUUUCAGCGGGGAGGAAGGGAGUAAAGUUAAUACCUUUGCUCAUUGACGUUACCCGCAGAAGAAGCACCGGCUAACUCCGUGCCAGCAGCCGCGGUAAUACGGAGGGUGCAAGCGUUAAUCGGAAUUACUGGGCGUAAAGCGCACGCCGGCGGUUUGUUAAGUCAGAUGUGAAAUCCCCGGGCUCAACCUGGGAACUGCAUCUGAUACUGGCAAGCUUGAGUCUCGUAGAGGGGGGUAGAAUUCCAGGUGUAGCGGUGAAAUGCGUAGAGAUCUGGAGGAAUACCGGUGGCGAAGGCGGCCCCCUGGACGAAGACUGACGCUCAGGUGCGAAAGCGUGGGGAGCAAACAGGAUUAGAUACCCCCGUAGUC
rnacentral:rRNA from 1 species